GUGCUCACUUCAGCAGCACAUAUACUAAAAUAGUAAUGAUACAGAGAAGAUUAGCAUGGCUCCUGCACAAGGAUGACAUGCAAAUAAAAAUAAAUAAAAAUAA
rnacentral:snRNA from 1 species